ensembl:lncRNA
CAGCCACGUAUACUGCACCUUACAGUUACCAGCCAGGCUAUCUUGUAUACAUUAGGUGCCUAAUUAGUCCUGUGAAAUCAAGCUUCUCAGCUAUUGAAGUUAGACAUGGCAACUCAACAGGAGGAAUAGAGGCCCAAGAGCCAGCAAAGUCUGGAAAUACAUGUAUUACUGGGUCACUGGAUCUAACUCAUCUUGUCGAAGUUUUUGGUUCUUCAAGUUUGUUUAGUUUGUUGGUCCAGAGAUCAUUGUGUGAUGCUGUUGCUGUGUUGGUCUCAUCCUCUUCCAUCGCUGGUUCAAGCAACUGUGUGUGUGGCAGAAUUUGUUCUUCAGUAAGGUCUCAGGGAGUCCUUCAAGCAUAUCCUGACUUUAGGAAGCCAGUUCUACACCCAGUGCAGAUGGUGCAUUUCCUUUUCUGAGGACGAGUGGGAGAGCAAUAAAAUGCUUCACCUUAUGCUGGCAGAUGUACACUUUCUAUGUUUGCAACAUGUUCACCUUUACUCCGAGGUGAUUUUUACCAACACAUGGACCUCGUUCUUCUUGCACAAACAACUGUUUCUAGGAUACUGGUCUUGUGAAUGUUUGGAGUUUUCAGUAAAAUGCAAAAGGAAGGUCUCCGAGCAAUUGUAAUCAAAUGAUGGCACAAAAGGCUUAUUAGUAGACUCAUGCUAAAAUUCUCUGAAGUUUUCUGAAGGUGUAGAAACUAAUAGAAGAGAAUGUGGAGAAGAGCCUUGAACACAUGGGCAAAGGGGAAAUUUUCCUGAACAGAACAUUAAUGGCUUAUGCUCUAACAUCAAGAAUCAGCAAAUGGGACCUCAUAAAAGUGCAAAGCUUCUGUAAGGCAAAGGACACUGCCAAUAGGCUAAAAUGGCAACCAACAGAUUGGGAAAGGAUCUUUACCAAUUCUACAUCUGAUAGGGGUCUAAUAUCCAAUAUAUACAAAGAACUCAAGAAGUUAGACUCCAGAGAAUCAAAUAACCCUAUUAAAAAUGGGGUACAGAGUUAAACAAAGAACUCUCAGGUGAGGAAUAUCGAAUGGCUGAGAAGUACCUAAAGAAAUGUUCAACAUCCUUAGUCAUCAGGGAAAUGCAAAUCAAAACAAACCUGAGAUUCCACCUCACACCAGUCAGAAUGGCUAAGAUCAAAAACUCAGGUGACAACAGAUGCUGGUGAGGAUGUGGAGAAAGAGGACCACUCCUCCAUUGUUGGUGGGAUUGCAAGCUGGAACACCCACUUUGGAAAUCAGUCUGGAGGUUCUUCAGAAAAUUGUACAUAGUGCUACCUAAGGACCCAGCUCUAAUACUCCUGGGCAUAUACCAAAAAGAUGCUCCAACAUAUAACAAGGACAUAUGCUCCACUAUGUUCAAAGUAGCCUUAUUUAUAAGCUGGAAAGAACCCAGAUGCCCUUUAACAGAGGUAUGGAUAUAGAAAAUGUGAUACAUUUACACAAUGGAGUACUACUCAGCUAUUAAAAACAAUGAUUUCAUGAAAUCCUUGGGCGAAUGGAUGGAGCUAGAAAAUAUCAUCUUAAGUGAGGUUACCCAAUCAGAGAAGAACACACAUAUACACUCAGUGCUUGGAAUACCCAAGAUGCAAUUCACAGACCACAUGAAGCUCAAGAAGAAGAAAAACCAAAGUGUAUAUGCUUCAGUACUUCCUAGAAAGGGGAACACAAUACUCACUGGAGGAAAUACAGGGGCAAAGUGUAGAGCAGAGACUGAAGGAGAGGCCAUUCAGAGACUGCCACACAGAGGGAUCCAUCCUACAUAUAGUCACCAAACCCAGAUUGGAAUGUCAAGAAAUGCUUGCUGACAGGAGCCUGAUAUAGCUGUCUCUUGAGAGGUUCUGCCAGAGCCUGACAAAUACAGAAGUGGAUGCUUGCAGCCAACCAUUGGACUGAGAACAGUGUCCGCAAUGGAGGAGUUAGAGAAAGGACUGUGGUAGCUGAGGGGGUUUGCAACUCCAUAGGAAGAGCAAUAAUAUCAACCAAUCAGAGCUCUCAGAGCUCCCAAGAACUAAAUCACCAACCAAAGAGUACACAUGGAGAGACUCAUGGGUCCAGUCUCAUAUGUAGCAGAGAAUGGCAAUAUAGGGCAUCAUCGGGAGGAGAGGCCCUUGGUCUUGUAAUUCAGCUAACCAAAUGUCUACUGUAAAAAUGAGAAGACCUGAGUUCUGUUCUCAGAAAUUGUGUUGGGCACCCCACAAUGGCCUGCAGCUCCAGCUCUGAGGGAAUCCCAGAUGCCCUGCUGUGGCCUGAAGAGAUCCAGCUAGCAACUGCCGUGUACUCCUAAUCCAUUGUUGUACAUCACUAUCCUCUGAGUCAAACAAUUGGCACCUUGGCCAUUCAGCUGUGUCUGCUUGCAAAGGAUCUUCAUAGCUGGGAUUACUGACUGUUUACAUUCCCUCACACAGGAGUGAGGAGGGUCACAGGUCCCCCACUUAAUCAUCCAACUGUUAUAUGCAAUUCUGCCUUAACUGCACGUAGCUUUUUGAAUAGUCUCAGUAAAGACUAGGGAAGGAGGGGCUUCAUUUGUUAGGAUAGGAGAAUGUCAUUAUCCUGGCUGCGUAACCACUUUGCAGGGAUAGCAACUGUACUCCAGUAAGUUAUUCCUAACCUAUGCUCUGUAAUGUAGCCAAAUA